UGGUUGGCAAGUUUUCCAUCAGGCUGGUGCCGAACAUGACUCCUGAAGUCGUCAGCGAGCAGGUCACAAGCUACCUAACUAAGAAGUUUGCUGAACUACGCAGCCCCAAUGAGUUCAAGGUGUACAUGGGCCACGGUGGGAAGCCCUGGGUCUCCGACUUCAGUCACCCUCAUUACCUGGCUGGGAGAAGAGCCAUGAAGACAGGUUGGACGCUCUCCUUGUGGAUGAUGCCGCGCAGGGCCCUUCGCACGUCUGAUAGGACUCUGCUAUAUCGCGUGGGCGUGUAGCUAUGUCGGGGGCACUGCUGUAUCGUGGGGGCAUGUAGUUAAGUCAGCAUGAGGACAGCCAGUGUGUGGGAUGAGCCUGGACCCCUGGCGGACCUUGAACACGGGCUUGCUGUCCCCAGGGCCUUGCACAGCAUC
rnacentral:sRNA from 1 species